GUGAGGUGGCAAUUAUUACGCGCUGCUUUCAGUGUGGAAAAGUUGAUAGGAGCGGGCAUCUUACCUUGGCGCCGAUCUCUGCGAGUGCCCCUCAGUCGAUGCAUGGUGUGUGUAGAUGCUGGAGAAAUGAAAAAUAGAGUUAAACUGAUAAAGCUAAGUUAGAAGUCAGGGCACUAAUAGAUAAGCUGAACAGGGAUUUAAAAGAGACGACCGACGAGCUGUGACUUCGAGCAGGAUGGCGUAGAACGGUUUAGAGUUGUAAACAAUCGAUUUCUCGGCUGUUUUUCUUCCCUGGAGUUCUUCAAUUGGGUCCUUGGUCCUACUACCAUCUUCUGCUGUCAUCCAUCUGCUCAUCAUCUGGUUGCCACUCACCUUAGGAAGAGGAGUCAUCUACAUCCACAUCUCCACAUCCUCCUCAUUGCAGUACUCUUCUCACACAAUCAUUGUGAAAAAGGGCGGUAGGACUUCAAGUGCACUCAUUUUAUUUCGUUUUAUUUAUUUAAUUUUUUCAUCCAUUUGAACUUUUGGGACGAUUUACUUUUACACCUGAGAUCUCAGGGGAUUUUUUAAAAUAAUUUUUCCCUAUUUUGGUUAAAAAAAAAAAAAACCCCGCUUGGCCAAUUGUGGUUGAAUAAAGGUAUUUGAAAGAACUGUGUAUUGUGAAUCUAACCUUGAGUUGAUGAUAUAAGUACUGUAGUAUUUUCUGCGGUAUUCAGUUUAAUUUACUUACCUUUUGAAAUACUGUGUUGAUCUUUGCUGGAUUCAAUGGAUAUUAAAGGUCUAACUCAACAAUUAGGCAGGAAAAAA